ensembl:lncRNA
GGAACAGUUGCCAGACUUCUUGUCACUAUCUUGUGUUUUCUCUGCCCUCAGAUAUCCCAACCUUCUUCCUGUGAUUUCCGAUUCGUUGUCUCCCCUCAUUACAAGUACCUGAACUCUGUGCAUUCUCCCCCAGUGAAUUUAUAUUCCCCAGUUUCAUUACCAAUCCAUUAUGUUAAUAAACCUCAUCUUAUACCUAGCUCUCCGUCUCCACCCUGGUUUGUGACAGAAGACUGGACCUCUACAGACACUUCCAUGGAUCCCCAGUCUCCAGCUCCUGCAGACCUUCUGCAGGAGCUGGUUAACACUCUCUGUGCCGCACUCAUGUCAGCAUCCAAUCCUCAGUCUGCCUCUGCCAGUCCCAUGGCAAUGUCUGCUUCCUAUGCGGGGGAACCAGCUGGAUGUGGUGGAUUUCUUUUGCAAGUCUCCAUGUACAUCAAUACACAACUGCAGAAAUUCUCAAUGGAACGUGCUAAGGAGGUAUUUGGCUCCACUACUGGUGAGAUCUCAGUCUCUGAUCAACUGCUGCAGUUGCGUCAGGGAGAGACAUCUACAAGAUUCCAUUGGACUGGAGAACUUCACGUUGAAAGCCAACCGCAUUUCACAACACCUAGCCGCCUGCCACACCGCCGAAGCCACUCAACAGUCUGGCUCUCCUGCCAGUGGCCCUCCAGUACCUGAGCCCAUGCAAGUGGAUUCUACCCGACUAUCUUCAGAUUAACGCAAUCUCAGGCUCGCGGCUGGACUAUGGCUCUAUUCUGCUGAACCUGACCAUGUCAUCCGAACCUGCCCUGUCAAGACCCCAUGUCCUAAGCCCUGGUCGACUCGGGCUCCUCGAGCAACUUCAUCUCGCGCAGCCUCCUAAGUUGUCUCCAGUUGCCUCGCUGUCAACAUGCCCAAGAGCUUCGAGUGGAGACUAUUCAAGGAAAACUGUUAAGCCGUGGGCAGGUGAGGUUUCAGGCACCUCCUAUAACUCUCAAAGUCGGGCUCUUCCAUGAAGAAGAAAUUCACUUCCUGGUACUGGAGGGACAUACUGAGGAUAUCGCCCUGGGAUGCCCCUGGCUCGUUCAACAUCAGAGAUCAGAUGGGAUUCAAGUUAGGUUAUUCGCUGGAGCUAGUUCUGCCACCAACACUGUCUCACUGCCCUUCUAUGUCUGCCACUCCAUUCACCGGUCUGUCAGGUUGCUUCCACGCUCAGAGUCCUGAGCUGAGUGUGGCUCAGAUCCCAUCUGAUUACGUGGCAUUCCAGGAUGUCUUCAAGCGAAAAUCCCCAAAGGUAGAGUGUACCCAUUGUCCAUAUUGGAGUGCAAAGCUAUGGAGGAAUACAUCCAGGGGGCUCUUAAUCAGCGAUCCGUCCAGCUCACCUGCUGCCUCAAGCUUCUUUGUGGGCAAGAAGGAUGGGGGCUUGCGGCCCUGCAUAGACUACAGAGCUCUAAACUCCCAGACGAUCAAACUCUCUUAUCCACUUCCCCUGAUCCCUGCUGCCAUUGAGGAACUCCUUGGAGCCCACAUCUUCUCCAAGCUGGACCUGCAGAGUGCCUAUAACCUUG